rnacentral:rRNA from 1 species
AUUGAACGCUGGCGGCAGGCCUAACACAUGCAAGUCGAACGAGUGGCGGACGGGUGAGUAAUGUCUGGGAAACUGCCUGAUGGAGGGGGAUAACUACUGGAAACGGUAUCUAAUACCGCAUACCUUCGGAUGUUCCCAGAUGGGAUUAGCUAGUAGGUGGGGUAAAGGCUCACCUAGGCGACGAUCCCUAGCUGGUCUGAGAGGAUGACCGGCCAAACUGGAACUGAGAGACGGUCCAGACGCAUACGGGAGGCAGCAGUGGGGAAUAUUGCACAAUGGGCGGAAGCCUGAUGCAGCCAUGCCGCGUGUGUGAAGAAGGCUUUCGGGUUGUAAAGUACUUUCAGCGGGGAGGCGUUGCCAGCAGAAGAAGCACCGGCUAACGAAGUGCCAGCAGCCGCGGUAAUAC